AGUGAACGCUGGCGGUAGGCCUAACACAUGCAAGUCGAACGGCAGCACAGUAAGAGCUUGCUCUUACGGGUGGCGAGUGGCGGACGGGUGAGGAAUACAUCGGAAUCUACUUUUUCGUGGGGGAUAACGCAGGGAGACUUACGCCAAUACCGCAUCCGACCUACGGGUGAAAUCAGGGGAUCUUCGGACCUUGCGCGAUCCAAUGAGCCGAUGUCGGAUUAGCUAGUUGGCGGGGUAAAGGCCCACCAAGGCGACGAUCCGUAGCUGGUCUGAGAGGAUGAUCAGCCACACUGGAACUGAGACACGGCCCAGACUCCUACGGGAGGCAGCAGUGGGGAAUAUUGGACAAUGGGCGCAAGCCUGAUCCAGCCAUGCCGCGUGGGUGAAGAAGGCCUUCGGGUUGUAAAGCCCUUUUGUUGGGGAAGAAAAGCAGCAGGUUAAUACCCCGCUGUGAUGACGGUACCCGAAGAAUAAGCACCGGCUAACUUCGUG
rnacentral:rRNA from 1 species